rnacentral:rRNA from 1 species
UACGAAGGGGGCUAGCGUUGCUCGGAUUUACUGGGCGUAAAGCGUGCGCAGGCGGUUUGUUAAGACAGAUGUGAAAUCCCCGGGCUUAACCUGGGAACUGCAUUUGUGACUGGCAAGCUAGAGUAUGGCAGAGGGGGGUAGAAUUCCACGUGUAGCAGUGAAAUGCGUAGAGAUGUGGAGGAAUACCGAUGGCGAAGGCAGCCCCCUGGGCCAAUACUGACGCUCAUGCACGAAAGGCGUGGG